UCCGGUUGAUCCUGCCGGAGGCUACCGCUAUUGGAGUUCGAUUAAGCCAUGCGAGUCGCGAGUCUUAGGGACUCGGCGUACCGCUCAGUAACACGUGGGUAACCUGCCCUAUGCUGGGGGAUAACCUCGGGAAACUGAGAAUAAUACCCCAUAGUUCACCACGCCUGGAACGGUGGGUGGAUGAAAGCUCCGGCGGCAUAGGAUGGGCCUGCGGCGUAUCAGGUUGUAGGGGGUGUAAUGUACCCUCUAGCCAUCUACGCGUACGGGUGUUGGGAGACAUCGCCCGGAGAUGGAUUCUGAGACACGAAUCCAGACCCUACGGGGUGCAGCAGGCGCGAAAACUUGGCAAUGCGAGCAAUCGUGACCAGGGAACUCCAAGUGCAUCGGGUAAGACCGAUGCUUUUCUUGACUCUUCAAAGGUCUUGGAAUAAGGGGUGGGUAAGGACGGUGCCAGCCGCCGCGGUAAUACCGGCGCCUCAAGUGGUAGUCGCUUUUAUUGGGCCUAAAACGUCCGUAGCCGGUUUGGUACAUUCGUGGGUAAAUCAAGGCGCUCAACGUCUUGAAUUCUGCGAGCACGGCCAGACUUGGGACCGGGUGAGGUGUGGGGUACUCUCAGGGUAGGGGUAAAAUCCUGUCAUCCUGAGAGGACCACCUGUUGCGAAGGCGCCACACUAGAACGGAUCCGACGGUCAGGGACGAAGCCUAGGGGCACGAACCGGAUUAGAUACCCGGGUAGUCCUAGGUGUAAACGCUGUGGACUUGAUGUUGGGAGUGCUCCGAGCACCCUCAGUGUCGAAGCGAAGGUGAUAAGUCCACUGCCUGGGGAGUACGGUCGCAAGGCUGAAACUUAAAGGAAUUGGCGGGGGAGCACUGCAACCUGAGGAUUGUGCGGUUCAAUUGGAGUCAACGCCG
rnacentral:rRNA from 1 species